AUGAUCCAGUGAGCACUACAUACAAAUAAGCCAAAGCUAACAAAGAUAGCAGUGCAUUUAACGUCAUGUAAACUGGAAUGUUAUUGCAAAUUCUUGCUUUUUCCAGUGUACGGUAAUGGUUUUAUGGAUAAAUAUAUUGACAUGAACCUUUACUCCAUCAUGCGUUCAUUUUUAACACACCUGCGUGUCUAGUUAAAAUGGGCAAUUUUGUGUUGCUUUUAACAUCCUCAGUGUGUUAGAACAUUUAACACAUGCUGUAUGUUAAACAUUUCCACACAAAGAUGUGUUAAAAAAGAACAAAAAUAACACAGAUGUGUUGUAUGCUAAGGAGAUGCAUGCUAAAGUAAUGUUAUUGACUCAGGUGAGAGUCUAGCUUAGCAUCACUCAUCCCUACUGGUGACAGCAUCCAGCUAGAUAAGCCGAACUCAGAGCCUCAGAUAAGAUGCAGACCAGAGAGAAUUAUAGAAUAACCCCAGUCCAGAUUUCACAGCCAACAGAAAAACAUGACACUGGAAGUUUAACGCCGACACUGAGGAAGCAGUACAUGAUAUUCACUUUUGAAGCCGUCAUGAUUCCUGUGAAAAUGACCCAACCAUUAACCCACACAAAACUACUCAAAAACUACCCCAGACUGAGAAAAUAACCCAAAAAGGCUUAACCCUAGGUUUGGGUAGAAAAAAUAACCCAACAUUAUAUAUAUAAAUUUACAAAAAGUGGUUAUUUCCCCAAAUGUAUGGAGACUUUUAGGACACCUGUACAGUGCAGUUUAGCUUUCAAUCUAUAAACCUGUGAAAACCUUUAAGUUGUUGUGUUUUCAUAGAAAAAAUCUAGUUGCUUGAGAUAAACAGCUUCAACUAGAACCUCCAAACCAUUAUCUCAUAAUAAUAAUAAUAAUCCCAACAUGAUUAUAAUUAAUCAUCUUUCUGAGAUUAGCUUAGAGUAAAAACUGCAACUUCCUCGUCAUUACCAUUUUAUUUGAACAGACAGCAAUAUUUUUAUUUAUUACCUCCCUGUCCCCACACUUGCCAGUUUGAAUGACAGAUAGGCAAGAUUCUCAAACUGCUCCUAAAAACCAGGAACAUUCUGGUCUUACAGUUCAGGCAGCUCUCCAAUGCAUUCUGACAAGCAUAAACCAGGCUGAAGGAGCUGGAGAAGAACUAAGAGCUUUAGAGUAUGUGUGUGGGGUCUACCAGGAAUCAUACAUACCGUUCCUUGUAUUUGCGAGGUCUGCACCUUAAAUCCGGCACACUGUUGAUUUCCCAUGUGUAUCCAGUGUUCCCACUUUUAUUGUUAUGGCCUAUUAAAUUUCAUGAUGGGCCAGCCAAGUUGGGGAUAGCAUCUGUUCAGUCCACCGUCCCAGAUCGUUACUUUCACCAAGCAAGGUGGCAGCUUUUCUGUGCAGCUGAAUACAAUUGCUGAAAAGGAUCUGGACACACUUGAUGGAUCUCACCUGCAUACUGUACCUGGAUUCGUACCCAAGACCUGAUGCUGUAAUCAUAACGACUGUUAUACUGAAGAUCUAUUCAACACACUCACUGUUUUGACUGCAAGUAUACAGUUGUAGAAGAGUAAUGAUUUAUAAUACCACUAGCCAGUGACAUCUAUAAGCGAAUGGGUUGUCUUUUGAGUCUGUUUCCUCUCAAGGUUUCUUCCUCAAGGGAGUUUUCCAUGUCACUGUCACCUCAACAGGGAUAUAGAUUUCUCUAAAGCUGCUUUCAUGUCUAUUUUUCGAAGAGCUAUAUGAAUUAAAAUUGAUUUGAAUUGAACGUUUUUUGUAUUUACUAGCACUACUGAGCCAUGUGUAGGCUAACCAACCAUACAGUGAGCAUGUAGCAGAGAACUUGUACAUUUGAACUCACAGAGAUUUGCAUUCUGGGAUGAUAUUUCAGUGACUUCAAUAAUACAUAGUUAAAACAAGCCAUGCAUACCCUAUGCUAUAGAUUAUCAUGACAUGAGAGUAUAUUAGAGAGGUUAACUGUGGGUUGUGAG
ensembl:lncRNA